AGAGCCUGCUCCAAGAAAACUGUUAAUAAACACCAAAGGAAAACCUGAACCCGUUGUAAUCACAAGACCACCGUUACCACGUAUUCGAGAACCUGCUCCAGGAAAAAUGGUUAUAAAGAAGACCCCCAAAGGGAAAAUAUGGUAACAAAAUGUUAAUCUCAGUCACUAAAAGUCAGGGUUCCAAUGCUCAUUUGCAUAUUAGUGAUUAUGUCAUCGCAACAAAAUUUUCAUACAAUUUGGGUUGUCGUUGCAGUGAGGGACAGAUUACUAAAGCAAAAGCAAUGUUUUCCACAGUGAAGCUGUCUCGUCUGCAUUAGCCGGUUAGCCAAAUUUACUCAUAUUUCCCUAAUUAAACUGAACACUAAUGUGCAGAAUGAGUAAUAAU